AUGUUUUACCUCCCCCAGCACGGUGACAUUAAAGCCAACAUCUGGUGCAACUGGACCAUCUGGGCAGGCCCCCAGAAGCACGUUGUCAUCUACGUCCAGGGCUUUCAGGGGAGCGAAGGCUGCGGGAAGAAUCAGGACAAGAUGAUUUUCCAGGGGGUGCUCUCAAGUGUGGAGACCAAAGUGGUGUACGCCUGCCACAACCGAGGCACUCUGAUCUUCGCUACACGAGCCACCGUGGUCCACGUGUUAUUUCUGUCUGGGGGUGGCUCCCGAAGCAGUGAAUACAAACACUUCAAGGGACAGUAUUAUGUAUUUGGAGAUGAUGAAGCUGCAGGUUCUUCAAAUGAAGCGAUGGCUCCCAGAGAGCCUGUUCAGGAGAGCUGGAGGACAGCGGUAACAAAAAGCUUCCUGCCCAUGCUGGGAGCUUCUCCGAGCCCAUCAUCUGUGCCUCCUGCAGACAGGAUCAACUCUGAGUUCACAAGCUCGGAUGAAGAAGACCAACACCUUCCUGACCUUGCAGAAGGUGCCCAGCCUGGCGCUAGCCUGGACAAACGUGGUGAGCUGCAGGAUGACACCAAGAUGGGAAGGAGCCCUCAGGAUGGUGGCACCGAGGGGGGAGAACCCAGUGAUAUGUUGGUGGCUCCAGCCAGAGGCGAUGCUGGGUGUGAAGCUGAGCAACCGUCCUUGGAGGCUGCAAAGGGGGAUGCAGGGCUGUUAUCUGCUCCGGUCACUGUAGCCCCACGUAGUUCAUCUGGUGUCCCACCUUCAGAGGUGCCCAGCAGCACUGCAGGCCUCUCUGCUGACUUCUCUAACCUGGGUCAGGCCCGUGGCACGCUGGCAGCAGAGGUGGUCACCACACUUCACCUGCCAACACUGGAAAAGCCACCACUAAACACCACUACAAAACCUUCUCCUCUCCAUCCCUCUCCUGGUGUGACUGCUGGAGGUAUGGUGUCACCGCAGGGAACACACGAAGACCUCUCUGGUAAGGGAUUUUACGGGUUAUUUGUGGCUGAACUGAUGGACAACAUUGUCCAGUGUCCAUUUCCAGAGAAGGAGCACUCUUGA
rnacentral:lncRNA from 1 species